rnacentral:rRNA from 1 species
GACGAACGCUGGCGGCGUGCUUAACACAUGCAAGUCGAACGGAAAGGCCCUGCUUUUGUGGGGUGCUCGAGUGGCGAACGGGUGAGUAACACGUGGGUAACAUGCCCUUGACUUUGGGAUAACUUCAGGAAACUGGGGCUAAUACCGGAUAGGAGCUCCUGCUGCAUGGGGGGGGUUGGAAAGUUUCGGCGGUUGGGGAUGGACUCGCGGCUUAUCAGCUUGUUGGUGGGGUAGUGGCUUACCAAGGCUUCGACGGGUAGCCGGCCUUGGAGGGUGACCGGCCACAUUGGGACUGAGAGACGGCCCAGACUCCUACGGGAGGCAGCAGUGGGGAAUAUUGCACAAUGGGCGGAAGCCUGAUGCAGCAACGCCGCGUGCGGGAUGACGGCCUUCGGGUUGUAAACCGCUUUCGCCUGUGACGAAGCGUGAGUGACGGUAAUGGGUAAAGAAGCACCGGCUAACUACGUG